UACGUAGGGUGCAAGCGUUUGUCCGGAAUUAUUGGGCGUAAAGAGCUCGUAGGCGGUUUGUUGCGUCGGCUGUGAAAUCCCGAGGCUCAACCUCGGGUCUGCAGUCGAUACGAGCAAACUAGAGUGUUGCAGGGGAGACUGGAAUUCCUGGUGUAGCGGUGAAAUGCGCAGAUAUCAGGAGGAACACCGGUGGCGAAGGCGGGUCUCUGGGCAACAACUGACGCUGAGGAGCGAAAGCGUGGGGAGCGAACAGG
rnacentral:rRNA from 1 species